rnacentral:lncRNA from 1 species
CAAGUAUUUACCCACAUAUUUGGUUGGUUUUCGAUGUUUUGUUUUUGAAAGUAUAUAAUAUAGAUGUUAACACAAACUUAAAAUAAAAUAUUCAACAUAAGUAUGUGAUAAUAUUAAGAGUGAGGUACUAAUGUGACAACAUUUAAUCAUUAGUGUAUAUCCCUUUGAUUUCACGCUUAAAUUUUGGUAGAUUUGUGUCAAAUAUAUUUACAGAAAAAAA